GAUGAAGAACGUAGCGAAAUGCGAUAAGUAAUGUGAAUUGCAGAUUUCCAGUGAAUCAUCGAAUCUUUGAACGCACAUUGCGCCCCUUGGUAUUCCGAGGGGCAUGCCUGUUCGAGCGUCAUUAUAACCCCUCAAGCUCGGCUUGGUGUUGGGGCCUGCCGCACGGGCAGCCCUUAAAAUCAGUGGCGGUGCCAUCUGGCUCUAAGCGUAGUAAUUCUUCUCGCUAUAGAGUCCCGGUGGAUGCUUGCCAUUAACCCCCAAUUUCAAUGGUUGACCUCGGAUCAGGUAGGGAUACCCGCUGAACUUAAGCAUAUCAAUAAGCGGAGGA
rnacentral:misc_RNA from 1 species